rnacentral:rRNA from 1 species
GAUGAACGCUGGCGGCGUGCCUAAUACAUGCGAGUCGAGCGAACGGACGAGAAGCUUGCUUCUCUGAUGUUAGCGGCGGACGGGUGAGUAACACGUGGAUAACCUACCUAUAAGACUGGGAUAACUUCGGGAAACCGUAGCUAAUACCGGAUAAUAUUUUGAACCGCAUGGUUCAAAAGUGAAAGACGGUCUUGCUGUCACUUAUAGAUGGAUCCGCGCUGCAUUAGCUAGUUGGUAAGGUAACGGCUUACCAAGGCAACGAUGCAUAGCCGACCUGAGAGGGUGAUCGGCCACACUGGAACUGAGACACGGUCCAGACUCCUACGGGAGGCAGCAGUAGGGAAUCUUCCGCAAUGGGCGAAAGCCUGACGGAGCAACGCCGCGUGAGUGAUGAAGGUCUUCGGAUCGUAAAACUCUGUUAUUAGGGAAGAACAUAUGUGUAAGUAACUGUGCACAUCUUGACGGUACCUAAUCAGAAAGACACGGCUAACUACGUG